GACGAACGCUGGCGGCGUGCUUAACACAUGCAAGUCGAACGGAAAGGCCCUGCUUUUGUGGGGUGCUCGAGUGGCGAACGGGUGAGUAACACGUGAGUAACCUGCCCUUGACUUUGUGAUAACUUCAGGAAACUGGGGCUAAUACCGGAUAGGAGCUCCUGCUGCAUGGUGGGGGUUGGAAAGUUUCGGCGGUUGGGGAUGGACUCGCGGCUUAUCAGCUUGUUGGUGGGGUAGUGGCUUACCAAGGCUUUGACGGGUAGCCGGCCUGAGAGGGCGACCGGCCACAUUGGGACUGAGAUACGGCCCAGACUCCUACGGGAGGCAGCAGUGGGGAAUAUUGCACAAUGGGCGGAAGCCUGAUGCAGCAACGCCGCGUGCGGGAUGACGGCCUUCGGGUUGUAAACCGCUUUCGCCUGUGACGAAGCGUGAGUGACGGUAAUGGGUAAAGAAGCACCAGCUAACUACGUG
rnacentral:rRNA from 1 species